CCAAUCAAUUUCUCAUGCCAAUCCAUCCUUCUCACACCCCUCCAUGAGUUCUCAUGACACGUGGACAAAACAUCAAAAAUUUAAUUUGAAGAGACACCUUCUCGCAGAAGGACUCUUCGAAGAAAAUAAAUUUUCGAUGUUUUCUUCAUAGCAUUGCGAGGCUUCAUAAGAAAUCUUAAGGGGUGCCUACCAUGUGAUGGCCAUCCAAUGGUCCACAAUAAUGGUGCCAAUUUUAUAUGGGGCAUGG
rnacentral:lncRNA from 1 species